AGCAGCCGCGGUAAUUCCAGCUCCAAUAGCGUAUAUUAAAGUUGUUGCAGUUAAAAAGCUCGUAGUUGAAUUUCGGGGUUAGUAGGUUGGUCAUGCCUCUGGUAUGUACUGGUCUCACUGAUUCCUCCUUCCUGAUGAACCUUAAUGCCAUUUAUUUGGUGUUUUGGGGAAUUUGGACUGUUACUUUGAAAAAUUAGAGUGUUUAAAGCAAGCUAACGCUUGAAUACAUUAGCAUGGAAUAAUGAAAUAGGACGUUCGAUCCUAUUUUGUUGGUUUCUAGGAUCGACGUAAUGAUUAAUAGGGAUAGUUGGGGGCAUUAGUAUUCAAUUGUCAGAGGUGAAAUUCUUGGAUUUAUUGAAGACUAACUACUGCGAAAGCAUUUGCCAAGGAUGUUUUCAUUAAUCAAGAACGAAAGUUAGGGGAUCGAAGACGAUCAG
rnacentral:rRNA from 1 species